ACACACAGCCAUAUCACCCUGCAGCCCAAGACUGGUUGCCCACUGAAGUUAAGCAGGGUUGAGCCUGGUUAGUACCUGGAUGGGAGACCUCCUGGGAAAACUAGGCUGCUGUUGGAA
rnacentral:rRNA from 1 species